rnacentral:tRNA from 1 species
CGGGGCGUAGUUCAGUUGGCUAGAACGCUGUGUUUGGGACGCAGAGGCCGCCGGUUCGAGUCCGGCCGCCCCGA